AGGAGAGUAGCUCAGUAGUAGAGCGCCAGGGGAAGGGUCCUUGGAGGUCGAUGGUGCGAAUCCAUCCUCUCUUCCCA
rnacentral:tRNA from 1 species